rnacentral:lncRNA from 1 species
AUGAGGUAUGGCAGAAGGGGGAAGCCAGUGGUGGCGAAGAACUUCCCAGGCAGCAAACCAAAUUCCUGGGGAAAGUUGAGUGACAGGAUUCACGAAGAAGAGUUUAAACUGAGGACCAGCACUUCUGUGGCUUCUGUUCAUUCUGCUGAUGCUCUGCGUGUCCCUCCAGGCUGUGUGGAUUGGGAGCAUCUGUCUAGAGAGCUGAGGAAUGCUGAAACUUCCCUGCCUGCUGUUGUGAUGGAUAUUGCCCAGCUGAAACACUGCUUGGGGGGGGGGAGUUCUGUUCCUACAGAGGCUGACCCAAGUGACACCUUUGAGAUCAGGAUUUCAUUUUCUCCUGCAUUUCAGUGCCUCUCCCAGUCUCCUGUCACACUCUGUACUCCCAGGGAAGCCUUGCCACAGGACUAAAUUAUUGCAAGAUGCAGGGGUUGGGGCUGGAAGCACCACUUCUGGGCCCUGCCAUGUGCUUGCCUGGUGGACGGGUGAAAUAUUUCCUCCACUGGGCUGCCCAGGAGCAGGGGGGGAGCCCAGCCUACCAGGGGCUUUGGUGGUGGCACCCUGCCUGCUGCCACCCUGCUGCUCACAGACCUGCGAUUGGGCUGGGGGGGCCUCGUCUGCAGGUUGGGCUGUAGCAGGCGCAUCCUGUUUUCUAGGAAAAAGAGGAUUUUGUGGCCGGCUUUGUUACAGAGGCAUUGAAGACUUCUCUUUGUGUGCUUUCUCAUUUGAAGUUUACACGCUGGUUGCCGCAAUCUUUCUAGAUGUUCUGGUUACACAGAUGAGAAUUGUUUUUAACCUUAUUUUUAUUAGAGAGUUGUAUCAUGUGGUCCUGGCCAGCCCACAGGAAGGGCUAGAAACUCCAUGUAGGCGGGAUAACACUUCCUAUCUCCGUGUAAACACCAAUUCCCCACAGAUGUGAGAAGGCAGCCCCGCUACACGGGAGGCUGGAGGCUCUGCUCCCACAUGUGGCAGCGGGCUGAGGCUUUCCGACAGCUGGGACAGACCUCGCUUUCAGCAGCCUGAGCUCUACCACGGCGCUGCUCUGCAGCGUGGCUCCCCGCCGUGCUCAGGAGCAAAGCUGGGGGCACAGGAGCUUUUCCAGGGAGCGUGGCGAGGAGCAGCCGGGCCCUGCAGAGCAUGAGGGAGCUGGUGGAACUGGUGGGGAGGCUGGGGCCAGUACGGGGCUGGGGCAAGGUCUCGGGCACGGAGCAUGGAGCCAGCUCACAGAGCACGGGAGAUGUGCUCAGAUGGGGUUUUGCACUGAAGAGUAACAGGCAAUGAAAGUGAUGUCAGCUGCGGUCUGAGGAAGGACCCGCUGUGUUGUGUGGUGUCUGCACACCGGCACGGGAAACCCCCAAGCCUGAAGUCAGUGGGAGCAUUGCUGCUGCCUUCAGUGAAAGGAAGAGUUCAGCCUGCUCCCUGCCUCGGGGCCACUAAAGAGCUUGCAGCAGUCUGAGGGGGUUUCAUGGCGCUGGGACUUCUCUCUACUUGUCGGAGGACAAAGCAAACACUGAGCCUUUACUGGGGUCUGGGAGUCUGGGACCUACAGGCUCCAGAAAUUACAAGGUUACACUGCUGAAGGCUGUAGGUAAUAAAACAUAUUUGCUCAAUUGCUUUAUUUGUCUA